rnacentral:rRNA from 1 species
UACGGGGGGAGCAAGCGUUGUUCGGAUUUACUGGGCGUAAAGGGCGCGUAGGCGGUCAGCACAAGUCAGUUGUGAAAUCUCCGGGCUUAACUCGGAAAGGUCAACUGAUACUGUGCGACUAGAGUGCAGAAGGGGCAACUGGAAUUCCCAGUGUAGCGGUGAAAUGCGUAGAUAUUGGGAGGAACACCAGUGGCGAAGGCGGCUCACUGGACCGGAACUGACGCUGAGGCGCGAAAGCGUGGGGAGCAAACAGG